rnacentral:rRNA from 1 species
AUCCUGGCUCAGGACGAACGCUGGCGGCGUGCUUAACACAUGCAAGUCGAACGGUAAGGCUCCAGCUUGCUGGGGUACACGAGUGGCGAACGGGUGAGUAACACGUGGGUGACCUGCCCUGCACUUCGGGAUAAGCCUGGGAAACUGGGUCUAAUACCGGAUAGGACCGCACCGUGAGGGUGUGGUGGAAAGUUUUUUCGGUGUGGGAUGGGCCCGCGGCCUAUCAGCUUGUUGGUGGGGUAAUGGCCUACCAAGGCGGCGACGGGUAGCCGGCCUGAGAGGGUGGACGGCCACAUUGGGACUGAGACACGGCCCAGACUCCUACGGGAGGCAGCAGUGGGGAAUAUUGCACAAUGGGCGGAAGCCUGAUGCAGCGACGCCGCGUGGGGGAUGACGGCCUUCGGGUUGUAAACUCCUUUCACCAUCGACGAAGGGUUUCUGACGGUAGAUGGAGAAGAAGCACCGGCUAACUACGUGCCAGCAGCCGCGGUAAUACGUAGGGUGCGAGCGUUGUCCGGAAUUACUGGGCGUAAAGAGCUCGUAGGUGGUUUGUCGCGUCGUCUGUGAAAUUCCGGGGCUUAACUCCGGGCGUGCAGGCGAUACGGGCAUAACUUGAGUACUGUAGGGGAGACUGGAAUUCCUGGUGUAGCGGUGAAAUGCGCAGAUAUCAGGAGGAACACCGGUGGCGAAGGCGGGUCUCUGGGCAGUAACUGACGCUGAGGAGCGAAAGCAUGGGGAGCGAACAGGAUUAGAUACCCUGGUAGUCCAUGCCGUAAACGGUGGGCGCUAGGUGUGGGUUUCCUUCCACGGGAUCCGUGCCGUAGCUAACGCAUUAAGCGCCCCGCCUGGGGAGUACGGCCGCAAGGCUAAAACUCAAAGGAAUUGACGGGGGCCCGCAGACGGGGGCCCGCACAAGCGGCGGAGCAUGUGGAUUAAUUCGAUGCAACGCGAAGAACCUUACCUGGGCUUGACAUAUACAGGAUCGCGCCAGAGAUGGUGUUUCCCUUGUGGCUUGUAUACAGGUGGUGCAUGGUUGUCGUCAGCUCGUGUCGUGAGAUGUUGGGUUAAGUCCCGCAACGAGCGCAACCCUUGUCUUAUGUUGCCAGCACGUUGUGGUGGGGACUCGUAAGAAACUGCCGGGGUUAACUCGGAGGAAGGUGGGGAUGACGUCAAAUCAUCAUGCCCCUUAUGUCCAGGGCUUCACACAUGCUACAAUGGUCGGUACAGUGGGUUGCCAGUCCGUGAGGGCGAGCUAAUCCCGCAAAGCCGGUCUCAGUUCGGAUCGGGGUCUGCAACUCGACCCCGUGAAGUCGGAGUCGCUAGUAAUCGCAGAUCAGCAACGCUGCGGUGAAUACGUUCCCGGGCCUUGUACACACCGCCCGUCACGUCAUGAAAGUCGGUAACACCCGAAGCCAGUGGCCUAACACAUUUUUUGUGGGGGAGCUGUCGAAGGUGGGAUUGGCGAUUGGGACGAAGUCGUAACAAGGU